AGCUGGAAUCGCUAGUAAUCGCGAAUCAGAAUGUCGCGGUGAAUACGUUCCCGGGUCUUGUACACACCGCCCGUCACACCAUGGGAGUCGGGAAUGCCCGAAGUCAGUGACCCAACCUUUGGAGGGAGCUGCCGAAGGCAGGUCUGAUAACUGGGGUGAAGUCGUAACAAGGUAAC
rnacentral:rRNA from 1 species